rnacentral:rRNA from 1 species
CCAGACUCCUACGGGAGGCAGCAGUGGGGAAUAUUGGACAAUGGGCGAAAGCCUGAUCCAGCCAUGCCGCGUGUGUGAAGAAGGUCUUCGGAUUGUAAAGCACUUUAAGUUGGGAGGAAGGGCAUUAACCUAAUACGUUAGUGUUUUGACGUUACCGACAGAAUAAGCACCGGCUAACUCUGUGCCAGCAGCCGCGGUAAUACAGAGGGUGCAAGCGUUAAUCGGAAUUACUGGGCGUAAAGCGCGCGUAGGUGGUUUGUUAAGUUGGAUGUGAAAGCCCCGGGCUCAACCUGGGAACUGCAUCCAAAACUGGCAAGCUAGAGUACGGUAGAGGGUGGGUGGAAUUUCCUGUGUAGCGGUGAAAUGCGUACAUAUAGGAAGGAACACCAGUGGCGAAAGCGACCACCUGGACUGAUGCUGACACUGAGGUGCGAAAUCAUGGGGAGCAAACAGGAUUAGAUACCCUGGUAGUCCACGCCGUAAACGAUGUCAACUAGCCGUUGGAAUCCUU